AUGGAGCUUUAGACACUAAGACAGCCCACGUUAAAGACCCUAAAUAAAGGAUUAAACCAAGUGGGCCCUGCCCUAAUGUCUUUGGUUGGGGCGACCGCGGGGAAUUAAAGAACCCCCACGUGGAAUGGGAACACUCUUCCUACAACUAAGAGCCACAGCUCUAGUAAACAGAAUUUCUGACCAGCAAGAUCCGGCAAUGCCGAUCAACGGACCG
rnacentral:rRNA from 1 species